UUGGAGGGCAAGUCUGGUGCCAGCAGCCGCGGUAAUUCCAGCUCCAAUAGCGUAUAUUAAAGUUGUUGCAGUUAAAAAGCUCGUAGUUGAAUUUCGGGAUUAGUACGCUGGUCGUGCCUUCGGUACGUACUGGUGUUACUGAUUUCUACCUUCUGACGAACCAUCAUGUCAUUAAUUUGGUGUGGUGGGGAAUCAGGACUGUUACUUUGAAAAAAUUAGAGUGUUUAAAGCAGGCUCGCGCUUGAAUACAUUAGCAUGGAAUAAUGAAAUAGGACGUUGAUCCUAUUUUGUUGGUUUCUAGGAUUGACGUAAUGAUUAAUAGGGAUAGUUGGGGGCAUUAGUAUUCAAUUGUCAGAGGUGAAAUUCUUGGAUUUAUUGAAGACUAACUACUGCGAAAGCAUUUGCCAAGGAUGUUUUCAUUAAUCAAGAACGAAAGUUAGGGGAUCGAAGACGAUCAGAUACCGUCGUAGUCUUAACCAUAAACUAUGCCGACUAGGGAUCGGAUGAUGUUAUUUUUAAUGACUCAUUCGGCGCCUUACGGGAAA
rnacentral:rRNA from 1 species